rnacentral:rRNA from 1 species
CGCCCUUUCCCCCCCCCCCCCCAGGCGGGGGGGAGGCCCCCCCCACUUUCAUUCUGUGUAUCUUUAUACUCCUCACUUGGAUAAACUGGUGGGUAUUUCUUAGAACCUAUAACUUGGCCCCAAAGCUUCCGAAUUUUUUGACGAGCCGCAUUCUAUUAAGAUUAAAAACCAAUCCGGGUUUUCCGCCCGUUUUGUUGGUGACUCUGAAUAACUAAUGGCUGAUUCGCAUGGUCUAGAACCGGCGACGUGUCUAUCAAGUGUCUGCCUUAUCAACUGUCGAUGGUAGUUUAUGUGCCUACCAUGGUUGUAACGGGUAACGGAGAAUAAGGGUUCGACUCCGGAGAGGGAGCCUGAGAAACGGCUACCACAUCCAAGGAAGGCAGCAGGCGCGCAAAUUACCCACUCUCGGCAUGAGGAGGUAGUGACGAAAAAUAACGAGACCGUUCUCUAUGAGGCCGGUUAUCGGAAUGGGUACAAUUUAAACCCGUUAACGAGGAUCUAUGAGAGGGCAAGUCUGGUGCCAGCAGCCGCGGUAAUUCCAGCUCUCAAAGUGUAUAUCGUCAUUGCUGCGGUUAAAAAGCUCGUAGUUGGAUCUGCGCCUCAGGACUUGGUCCGCCCACUGGGUGAGAACUGGGCUCCUGGGCUAGUUCUGCUGGUUUUCCCUACGUUGCCUUCAUCGGUAGCGUAGGGUGGCUAGCGAGUUUACUUUGAAAAAAUUAGAGUGCUUCACGCGGGCUUAUGUCUGAAUACUCGUGCAUGGAAUAAUAGAAUAGGAUCUCGGCUCUAUUUUGUUGGUUUUCUGAUCUGAGAUAAUGGUUAAGAGGGACGGACGGGGGCUUUCGUAUCGCUGCGUGAAAGGUGAAAUUCUUGGACCGUAGCGAGACGUCCGACUGCGAAAGCAUUUGCCCAAGAAAUGUCUCCUAUCAUCACGAAUCGAAGUCCGAAAAAUCCCCCACCACACACACAAAAAA